rnacentral:rRNA from 1 species
AGUGAACGCUGGCGGUAGGCCUAACACAUGCAAGUCGAACGGCAGCACAGUAAGAGCUUGCUCUUACGGGUGGCGAGUGGCGGACGGGUGAGGAAUACAUCGGAAUCUACUUUUUCGUGGGGGAUAACGUAGGGAAACUUACGCUAAUACCGCAUACGACCUACGGGUGAAAGCAGGGGAUCUUCGGACCUUGCGCGAUUGAAUGAGCCGAUGUCGGAUUAGCUAGUUGGCGGGGUAAAGGCCCACCAAGGCGACGAUCCGUAGCUGGUCUGAGUGGAUGGUCAGCCACACUGGAACUGGAACACGGUCCAGACUACUACGGGAGGCAGCAGUGGGGAAUAUUGGACAAUGGGCGCAAGCCUGAUCCAGCCAUACCGCGUGGGUGAAGAAGGCCUUCGGGUUGUAAAGCCCUUUUGUUGGGAAAGAAAAGCAGCAGGUUAAUACCCCGCUGUUCUGACGGUACCCAAAGAAUAAGCACCGGCUAACUUCGUG